GUUCUUUUAGUUUAAUGGUAAAAUAUUGUCCUUCUAAGACAACAGAUUUUGGUUCGAAUCCGAAAAAGAAUU
rnacentral:tRNA from 2 species